CAUACAAGAGAACUGUGUUCCCUUUUCUUUCAGUUGCGCAGACAAAAAAAAAAAAAAAACAAAACGGAGCAUGGUCUCCUUCUUCUUCAGCUGACCUUCUCCAAUCCACAAAUCACCAGUCCAUGCUCAUUCUUUUUCAAUAUGGUGAAGCCCUAAAUCACCUCCACAACACACUCACCUACACCUCGAUUCCUUUUCCCUCUCCUUCUCCGACGCGACACCACCACACCCCUUCGUUUUCUCCGGCGGUCCAUCGGUGGUGGCGAAGUGGAUGGCGUCAGUUGUGGCUCGAGAUAGGUAGAAGCGGAGAGAGAGAAACAGACAGCGGAGAACGACGACGGCAGUGGCACCGCCGUCUGCGGCGGCGGUCCGGUCGUGGUUCAGGUUCGGGUUCCGGCCGACGGGAAUGAACUCCGGUGGACAUCAGUCCGGUUUCCCUUUAAAUUUAAUCUCGGUUCGUUGUUCGGUUCUAGUCUCACAACACAGACGGUUCGGGUCAGAAUCUGUUUCGAGUUUUGUUUGUUUUCGUUCGAUUCCGGUCACCGAUGACAGCCGGAGCCGCAUCUUCGGGAAUGGUGUCGGCGGGGAUAGUGUUGGCAGUGGUGUCGUUUCAGUCUCAACUCGGGUUAACUCGGUUCGGUUUUGAGGCGUGAUUUGGCGUUCAGGUCAAAACCGGUCAAACAGUCAACGUGGGCUUCGGGAUCUCUCCCGUUUCUGUUUCGGGUCAAACUUGGUCAACCUUCGGUCAAGUCGGGUCAACUAGUCAAACACGAGGUUGGGGUGACAUCGGUGUUCCAUCAUCCUAACCUCACACUCGUCGACACUUGGAUAAUCGGAAGACUUAGCAAUUCUGUUGAUUAUUGAAGUAUGGAUGAUUGAUGAAACAAGUUUAGGGUGGCUAGAUAC